rnacentral:rRNA from 1 species
AUUGAACGCUGGCGGCAGGCCUAACACAUGCAAGUCGAGCGGAUGAAGGGAGCUUGCUCCUGGAUUCAGCGGCGGACGGGUGAGUAAUGCCUAGGAAUCUGCCUGGUAGUGGGGGAUAACGUGCGGAAACGGGCGCUAAUACCGCAUACGUCCUGAGGGAGAAAGUGGGGGAUCUUCGGACCUCACGCUAUCAGAUGAGCCUAGGUCGGAUUAGCUAGUUGGUGGGGUAAAGGCCUACCAAGGCGACGAUCCGUAACUGGUCUGAGAGGAUGAUCAGUCACACUGGAACUGAGACACGGUCCAGACUCCUACGGGAGGCAGCAGUGGGGAAUAUUGGACAAUGGGCGAAAGCCUGAUCCAGCCAUGCCGCGUGUGUGAAGAAGGUCUUCGGAUUGUAAAGCACUUUAAGUUGGGAGGAAGGGCAGUAAGUUAAUACCUUGCUGUUUUGACGUUACCAACAGAAUAAGCACCGGCUAACUUCGUG